rnacentral:lncRNA from 1 species
UCCUCCACACUAGGAUCAUCCAUUUCUAAUGCAAGACAAGAAUAAUAAAGGAGACAAUUGUCAGCAUUUCCAGAAAGCGCUACAGCCAACUUAUGUUUCCUGUCUGCAUGACUCCUUCAACCUCUGUCAGAGAACAUUGAUGUGGCCAGCUACAUUCUUCACUCCCUAUCAUCCCAGAACAUGAAUGGGAAGAGGAUGAGACCUUGGCUCCUGUCCAGUUUUUAGAGCUUUCCGACUCUCAUAUUUACUAUAUAAUGCACACAGUAUAUUAUAUUGUUUGUGUGUCUGUGUGUGAUAAUAGUUACGUAAAAUAACCUAAAUCUUCAGAGAUUGGUGUCAAAAGAGGAAGCCCCACUUCCUGUUCUAUGUAGUCAGAAUCGUCUUUUUCUUCAUCUUCUUCCUCUUCUUCUUCCUCAUUUUUUUGUAUGGAGUUGAACCAAUUACAGCGACCCUGGGAAUGAAUGUUGCAAGAUUUAGUAGUCUAAUGGGGACCUUAAAAUUUCAGAUUAUUCAUUUGAAUUGAUCAGGAUGAAGUGUAACUCUGUGGGAAUUUAAUCAAUUAUUCAUUCAUUCAUUCUACAUACAUUUUCCAAGUGCUAUUUUGAUCUAGGUUGUUUCAAGGAAAGGACCGUGCUAUUUAUUUUAAGAAUUUGCCAAAUUCUUGAAGUCACAGAAUGUGUAUUUUUAAAUUAUCACUUAUAUUUUAAAAUUAGCAGAACCUUAGUGAAAAAGGUAAGAGUGUAUUUUACUGGUUUGUGGUAAAUAAUUUAUGUGAGAGAGCUAAAGCUAUUAUGAUGAUUAUUAUUAACAAUAACAUUUAAAUGUGGUAAGAUUAUUUAUGGAGGUUUAGGGUUUAUAAUGUCUCAGUUAGCUCUUAUGUAGAGAAAGCUAAGAGUAUCUCUUAUCUAGAUCAAAGUAUAACGAAGAUUUUCUACCUGCAGAUGAGGUAAUAUAGCACAGGGGUUAAGUGGAUGCACUGGGUCCACUCUGUGCAGCCUCACAUCUGAUUCUGUUCCUUAUUAGUUAUGUUCCUUUUGUCACAUUUCCUAAACUCUCUUUCAAUUUCCUCAUCUGAAAAUUAAGGAUAAUAAUACUAUGUCAUGGGGUUGCUGUGAAGAUUAAAUCUUGUACACACGCACAAACACACACCCCAACACACACACACCUGGCACAAUAGGUAUUAUAUAACUGCUAUACAGCACUGUUUCCUUGCUUUUUGUUUUUGUUACAAUCCCUUAUUGUUCUUGGCACAAAAGCUACAUGUAUUAUAGAGAUAAAAUUAAAGAACUAUUUUCAAAAUUAAUGUACCCAUCUAUAUUAAACAUAUAAAAAUUGAGUAAUUUCAGAACACACAAAUCUAAAUCUGUACAUCAUCUGUCAAACGCUCCAUAGAAGAAUGUGUUUUAUUUUCAAAUAGAAAAUAAAGUCUGUUUGGAGAUCCCUGGGACCUUCAGUUAUAUAGACAAUUAUAUAGACACUGGCAAUUGUAUAUUACUCUGCAUUUUUGGCUGUGUUUUUAAUUAUCUCUUUUCCUGCCUAUUAAAUAGAGUCCAAAGGCCUUUAUUUUGUAUGUCUUUGUGCAUUAUAGUGACCAUUUAAUGAAUAUUUGCCUAAUUACCUGAUAGAUUGAGAAGUGCAAAGCUCCUACCUGAGAGAGAAUAUGCUGUACAUGAUGAACCCAAUUGGAUAGGG